rnacentral:rRNA from 1 species
UACGUAGGGUGCAAGCGUUGUCCGGAAUUAUUGGGCGUAAAGGGUGCGUAGGCGGGUCUUUAAGUCAGGGGUGAAAUCCUGGAGCUCAACUCCAGAACUGCCUUUGAUACUGAAGAUCUUGAGUUCGGGAGAGGUGAGUGGAACUGCGAGUGUAGAGGUGAAAUUCGUAGAUAUUCGCAAGAACACCAGUGGCGAAGGCGGCUCACUGGCCCGAUACUGACGCUGAGGCACGAAAGCGUGGGGAGCGAACAGG